rnacentral:rRNA from 1 species
AGUGAACGCUGGCGGCGUGCUUAACACAUGCAAGUCGAACGAGAACGGGCUAUAGCUUGCUAUAGUUGUCAGCUAAGUGGCGCACGGGUGAGUAAUGUAUAGGUAAUAUGCCUCUUACUAAGGGAUAACAAAUGGAAACGUUUGCUAAUACCUUAUACUCCUUAUUAACAGAAGUUAAUAAGGGAAAGAUUUAUUGGUAAGAGAUUAGCCUGUAUUGUAUCAGUUAGUUGGUGGGGUAAUGGCUUACCAAGACUAUGACACAUAACUGGUUUGAGAGGAUGAUCAGUCACACUGGAACUGAGACACGGUCCAGACUCCUACGGGAGGCAGCAGUGGGGAAUAUUGCACAAUGGACGAAAGUCUGAUGCAGCAACGCCGCGUGGAGGAUGACACAUUUCGGUGCGUAAACUCCUUUUAUAUAAAAAGAUAAUGACGGUAUUAUAUGAAUAAGCACCGGCUAACUCCGUGCCAGCAGCCGCGGUAAUACGUANGUGGCAAGCGUUGUCCGGAUUUAUUGGGCGUAAAGCGCGCCACGCGG